GAUGAACGCUGGCGGCGUGCCUAAUACAUGCAAGUCGAGCGAACGGACGAGAAGCUUGCUUCUCUGAUGUUACCGGCGGACGGGUGAGUAACACGUGGAUAACCUACCUAUAAGACUGGGAUAACUUCGGGAAACCGGAGCUAAUACCGGAUAAUAUAUUGAACCGCAUGGUUCAACAGUGAAAGACGGUUUUGCUGUCACUUAUAGAUGGAUCCGAGCCGCAUUAGCUAGUUGGUAAGGUAACGGCUUACCAAGGCAACGAUGCGUAGCCGACCUGAGAGGAUGAUCGGCCACACUGGAACUGAGACACGGUCCAGACUCCUACGGGAGGCAGCAGUAGGGAAUCUUCCACAAUGGGCGAAAGCCUGACGGAGCCACGCCGCGUGAGUGAUGAAGGUCUUCGGAUCGUAAAACUCUGUUAUUAGGGAAGAACAAAUGUGUGAGUAACUAUGCACGUCUUGACGGUACCUAAUCAGAAAGCCACGGCUAACUACGUG
rnacentral:rRNA from 1 species